rnacentral:rRNA from 1 species
UACGAAGGGGGCUAGCGUUGCUCGGAAUCACUGGGCGUAAAGCGCACGUAGGCGGUUGUUAAGUCGGGGGUGAAAUCCUGGAGCUCAACUCCAGAACUGCCUUCGAUACUGGCGACCUUGAGUCCGGGAGAGGUGAGUGGAAUUCCACGUGUAGCGGUGAAAUGCGUAGAGAUGUGGAGGAACACCAGUGGCGAAGGCGACUCUUUGGUCUGUAACUGACGCUGAGGCGCGAAGCGUGGGAGCAACAGG